AUUGAACGCUGGCGGCAGGCCUAACACAUGCAAGUCGAGCGGUAGAGAGGUGCUUGCAUCUCUUGAGAGCGGCGGACGGGUGAGUAAUGCCUAGGAAUCUGCCUAGUGGUGGGGGAUAACGUUCGGAAACGGACGCUAAUACCGCAUACGUCCUACGGGAGAAAGCGGGGGGAUCUUCGGACCUCGCGCCAUUAGAUGAGCCUAGGUCGGAUUAGCUAGUUGGUGAGGUAAUGGCUCACCAAGGCGACGAUCCGUAACUGGUCUGAGAGGAUGAUCAGUCACACUGGAACUGAGACACGGUCCAGACUCCUACGGGAGGCAGCGAGUGGGGAAUAUUGGACAAUGGGCGAAAGGACCUGAUCCAGCCAUGCCGCGUGUGUGAAGAAGGUCUU
rnacentral:rRNA from 1 species